UACGAAGGUGGCAAGCGUUGUUCGGAUUUACUGGGCGUAAAGAGCUCGUAGGCGGUUUGUCGCGUCUGCUGUGAAAACCCGAGGCUCAACCUCGGGCCUGCAGUGGGUACGGGCAGGCUAGAGUUCGGUAGGGGAGACUGGAAUUCCUGGUGUAGCGGUGAAAUGCGCAGAUAUCAGGGGGAACACCGGUGGCGAAGGCGGGUCUCUGGGCCGAUACUGACGCUGAGGAGCGAAAGCGUGGGGAGCGAACAGG
rnacentral:rRNA from 1 species